UAAGCGGAGGAAAAGAAACCAACAGGGAUUGCCUUAGUAGCGGCGAGUGAAGCGGCAAAAGCUCAAAUUUGAAAUCUGGCACUUUCAGUGUCCGAGUUGUAAUUUGAAGAAGGUAUCUUUGGGUCUGGCUCUUGUCUAUGUUUCUUGGAACAGAACGUCACAGAGGGUGAGAAUCCCGUGCGAUGAGAUGACCCAGACCUAUGUAAAGUUCCUUCGAAGAGUCGAGUUGUUUGGGAAUGCAGCUCUAAGUGGGUGGUAAAUUCCAUCUAAAGCUAAAUAUUGGCGAGAGACCGAUAGCGAACAAGUACAGUGAUGGAAAGAUGAAAAGAACUUUGAAAAGAGAGUGAAAAAGUACGUGAAAUUGUUGAAAGGGAAGGGCUUGAGAUCAGACUUGGUAUUUUGUAUGUUACUCUUUCGGGGGUGGCCUCUACAGUUUACCGGGCCAGCAUCAGUUUGGGCGGUAGGAGAAUUGCAAAGAAAUGUGGCACUGCUUCGGUAGUGUGUUAUAGUCUUUGUCGAUACUGCCAGCCUAGACUGAGGACUGCGGCUUCGGCC
rnacentral:rRNA from 1 species